rnacentral:tRNA from 1 species
GCAUUGGUUGUUCAGUGGUAAAAUUCUCACCUUCCAUGCAGGAGACCUGGGUUCUAUUCCUGGCCAAUGUA